CCUUGGAGAUGGGAUAACUAACCGAAAGGUUAGCUAAUACCGCAUAAGCCCACGGGAGCUUCGGCUUCUGAGGGAAAAGGCGGCCUCUGUAUACAAGCUGUCACUCCAAGAUGAGCCCGCGGCCCAUCAGCUAGUUGGCGGUGUAAAAGACCACCAAGGCUAUGACGGGUAGCUGGUCUGAGAGGACGAUCAGCCACACUGGGAUUGAGAACGGCCCAG
rnacentral:rRNA from 1 species